rnacentral:rRNA from 1 species
CGAAUGCUGACAUAAGUAACGAUAAAGCGGGUGAAAAGCCCGCUCGCCGGAAGACCAAGGGUUCCUGUCCAACGUUAAUCGGGGCAGGGUGAGUCGACCCCUAAGGCGAGGCCGAAAGGCGUAGUCGAUGGGAAACAGGUUAAUAUUCCUGUACUUGGUGUUACUGCGAAGGGGGGACGGAGAAGGCUAUGUUGGCCGGGCGACGGUUGUCCCGGUUUAAGCGUGUAGGCUGGUUUUCCAGGCAAAUCCGGAAAAUCAAGGCUGAGGCGUGAUGACGAGGCACUACGGUGCUGAAGCAACAAAUGCCCUGCUUCCAGGAAAAGCCUCUAAGCAUCAGGUAACAUCAAAUCGUACCCCAAACCGACACAGGUGGUCAGGUAGAGAAUACCAAGGCGCUUGAGAGAACUCGGGUGAAGGAACUAGGCAAAAUGGUGCCGUAACUUCGGGAGAAGGCACGCUGAUAUGUAGGUGAAGUCCCUUGCGGAUGGAGCUGAAAUCAGUCGAAGAUACCAGCUGGCUGCAACUGUUUAUUAAAAACACAGCACUGUGCAAACACGAAAGUGGACGUAUACGGUGUGACGCCUGCCCGGUGCCGGAAGGUUAAUUGAUGGGGUCAGCGCAAGCGAAGCUCUUGAUCGAAGCCCCGGUAAACGGCGGCCGUAACUAUAACGGUCCUAAGGUAGCGAAAUUCCUUGUCGGGUAAGUUCCGACCUGCACGAAUGGCGUAAUGAUGGCCAGGCUGUCUCCACCCGAGACUCAGUGAAAUUGAACUCGCUGUGAAGAUGCAGUGUACCCGCGGCAAGACGGAAAGACCCCGUGAACCUUUACUAUAGCUUGACACUGAACAUUGAGCCUUGAUGUGUAGGAUAGGUGGGAGGCUUUGAAGUGUGGACGCCAGUCUGCAUGGAGCCGACCUUGAAAUACCACCCUUUAAUGUUUGAUGUUCUAACGUUGACCCGUAAUCCGGGUUGCGGACAGUGUCUGGUGGGUAGUUUGACUGGGGCGGUCUCCUCCUAAAGAGUAACGGAGGAGCACGAAGGUUGGCUAAUCCUGGUCGGACAUCAGGAGGUUAGUGCAAUGGCAUAAGCCAGCUUGACUGCGAGCGUGACGGCGCGAGCAGGUGCGAAAGCAGGUCAUAGUGAUCCGGUGGUUCUGAAUGGAAGGGCCAUCGCUCAACGGAUAAAAGGUACUCCGGGGAUAACAGGCUGAUACCGCCCAAGAGUUCAUAUCGACGGCGGUGUUUGGCACCUCGAUGUCGGCUCAUCACAUCCUGGGGCUGAAGUAGGUCCCAAGGGUAUGGCUGUUCGCCAUUUAAAGUGGUACGCGAGCUGGGUUUAGAACGUCGUGAGACAGUUCGGUCCCUAUCUGCCGUGGGCGCUGGAGAACUGAGGGGGGCUGCUCCUAGUACGAGAGGACCGGAGUGGACGCAUCACUGGUGUUCGGGUUGUCAUGCCAAUGGCACUGCCCGGUAGCUAAAUGCGGAAGAGAUAAGUGCUGAAAGCAUCUAAGCACGAAACUUGCCCCGAGAUGAGUUCUCCCUGACUCCUUGAGAGUCCUGAAGGAACGUUGAAGACGACGACGUUGAUAGGCCGGGUGUGUAAGCGCAGCGAUGCGUUGAGCUAACCGGUACUAAUGAACCGUGAGGCUUAACCUUACAACGCCGAAGGUGUUU